rnacentral:rRNA from 1 species
UAGGGGGCAAGCGUUAUCCGGAUUUACUGGGUGUAAAGGGUGCGUAGGUGGUAUGGCAAGUCAGAAGUGAAAACCCGGGGCUCAACCCCGUGGAUUGCUUUUGAAACUGUCAGACUGGAGUACCGGAGAGGUAAGCGGAAUUCCUAGUGUAGCGGUGAAAUGCGUAGAUAUUAGGAGGAACACCAGUGGCGAAGGCGGCUUACUGGACGGUAACUGACACUGAGGCACGAAAGCGUGGGGAGC